GUUGUAUAGUCAAGUAAUUAAGUGCAUGUGGUGGAUGCCUUGGCAGUCAGAGGCGAUGAAAGACGUGAUAGCCUGCGAAAAGCUCCGGGGAGGCGGCAAAUAUCCUUUGAUCCGGAGAUGUCUGAAUGGGGGAACCCACCUACUUUAAGGUAGGUAUUGCAACAUGAAUACAUAGUGUUGCAAGGCGAACGAGGGGAAGUGAAACAUCUCAGUACCCUUAGGAAAAGAAAUCAAUUGAGAUUCCCUCAGUAGCGGCGAGCGAACGGGGAUCAGCCCAUUAAGUUAUGUGUGUUUUAGUGGAACGCUCUGGGAAGUGCGAACGUAGAGGGUGAUAUUCCCGUACACGAAAGGGCACACAUAAUGAUGACGAGUAGGGCGAGGCACGUGAAACCUUGUCUGAAUAUGGGGGGACCAUCCUCCAAGGCUAAAUACUCCUGACUGACCGAUAGUGAACCAGUACCGUGAGGGAAAGGCGAAAAGAACCCCUGUGAGGGGAGUGAAAUAGAUCCUGAAACCGCAUGCAUACAAGCAGUGGGAGCACCUUCGUGGUGUGACUGCGUACCUUUUGUAUAAUGGGUCAGCGACUUAUAUUCAGUAGCGAGGUUAACCGUAUAGGGGAGCCGUAGAGAAAUCGAGUCUUAAUAGGGCGUUUAGUUGCUGGGUAUAGACCCGAAACCAGGCGAUCUAUCCAUGAGCAGGUUGAAGGUUGGGUAACACUAACUGGAGGACCGAACCCACUGUCGUUGAAAAGCCAGGGGAUGACUUGUGGAUAGGGGUGAAAGGCUAAUCAAGCCUGGUGAUAGCUGGUUCUCCCCGAAAGCUAUUUAGGUAGCGCCUCGGACGAAUACCAUAGGGGGUAGAGCACUGUUUCGGCUAGGGGGUCAUCCCGACUUACCAAACCGAUGCAAACUCCGAAUACCUAUGAGUACUAUCCGGGAGACAGACUGCGGGUGCUAACGUCCGUAGUCAAGAGGAAAACAAUCCAGACCGCCAGCUAAGGCCCCAAAAUCAUAGUUAAGUGGGAAACGAUGUGGGAAGGCAUAGACAGCUAGGAGGUUGGCUUAGAAGCAGCCACCCUUUAAAGAAAGCGUAAUAGCUCACUAGUCGAGUCGGCCUGCGCGGAAGAUGUAACGGGGCUAAAACUAUGUGCCGAAGCUGCGGAUGUAUACUUUGUAUACGUGGUAGGGGAGCGUUCUGUAAGCCGAUGAAGGUGUGUUGAGAAGCAUGCUGGAGGUAUCAGAAGUGCGAAUGCUGACGUGAGUAACGACAAAACGGGUGAAAAACCCGUUCGCCGAAAGACCAAGGGUUCCAGUCCAACGUUAAUCGGGGCUGGGUGAGUCGACCCCUAAGGCGAGGCCGAAAGGCGUAGUCGAUGGGAAAAUGGUUAAUAUUCCAUUACUUCUGUGUAAUGCGAUGAGAGGACGGAGAAGGCUAAAUCAGCCUGGCGUUGGUUGUCCAGGUGAAAGGAUGUAGGCAUGUAUCUUAGGCAAAUCCGGGGUACUCUAUGCUGAGAUCUGAUAGCAAGCUGUACUUGUACAGCGAAGUGGUUGAUGCCAUGCUUCCAGGAAAAGUCUCUAAGCUUCAGUUACACAGGAAUCGUACCCGAAACCGACACAGGUGGUCAGGUCGAGUAGACCAAGGCGCUUGAGAGAACUCUGCUGAAGGAACUAGGCAAAAUGGUACCGUAACUUCGGGAGAAGGUACGCUGUUGUUGGUGAUGGAACUCGCUUCCUGAGCUGACGACAGCCGCAGAAACCAGGCCGCUGCAACUGUUUAUUAAAAACAUAGCACUCUGCAAACACGAAAGUGGACGUAUAGGGUGUGAUGCCUGCCCGGUGCUGGAAGGUUAAUUGAUGGGGUUAGCGUAAGCGAAGCUCUUGAUCGAAGCCCCAGUAAACGGCGGCCGUAACUAUAACGGUCCUAAGGUAGCGAAAUUCCUUGUCGGGUAAGUUCCGACCUGCACGAAUGGCAUAAUGAUGGCGGCGCUGUCUCCAGCAGAGGCUCAGUGAAAUCGAAAUCGCUGUGAAGAUGCAGUGUACCCGCGGCUAGACGGAAAGACCCCGUGAACCUUUACUGCAGCUUGACACUGAACUUUGACCUUACUUGUGUAGGAUAGGUGGGAGGCUUUGAAGCUGGAACGAAAAUUCCAGUGGAGCCGUCCUUGAAAUACCACCCUGGUAAUGUUGAGGUUCUAACUCUGUCCCGUGAUCCGGGACGAGGACCGUGUCUGGUGGGUAGUUUGACUGGGGCGGUCUCCUCCUAAAGAGUAACGGAGGAGUACGAAGGUGCGCUCAGCGUGGUCGGAAAUCACGCGUAGAGUAUAAAGGCAAAAGCGCGCUUAACUGCGAGACCCACAAGUCGAGCAGGUACGAAAGUAGGUCUUAGUGAUCCGGUGGUUCUGUAUGGAAGGGCCAUCGCUCAACGGAUAAAAGGUACUCUGGGGAUAACAGGCUGAUACCGCCCAAGAGUUCAUAUCGACGGCGGUGUUUGGCACCUCGAUGUCGGCUCAUCUCAUCCUGGGGCUGAAGCAGGUCCCAAGGGUAUGGCUGUUCGCCAUUUAAAGAGGUACGCGAGCUGGGUUUAGAACGUCGUGAGACAGUUCGGUCCCUAUCUACCGUGGGCGCUGGAAAUUUGAGAGGAUCUGCUCCUAGUACGAGAGGACCAGAGUGGACGAACCUCUGGUGUACCGGUUGUGACGCCAGUCGCAUCGCCGGGUAGCUAUGUUCGGAAGGGAUAACCGCUGAAAGCAUCUAAGCGGGAAGCCUACCUCAAGAUAAGAUUUCCCUAGGACUUUAUGUCCUCUAAAGAGCCGUUCGAGACUAGGACGUUGAUAGGUUGGAUGUGGAAGCAUAGUGAUAUGUGAAGCUGACCAAUACUAAUUGCUCGUGAGGCUUGACUAUACAACACCCAAGCAGUUG
rnacentral:rRNA from 1 species